rnacentral:rRNA from 1 species
CCCUUAGAUGUCCGGGGCCGCACGCGCGCUACACUGAAGGAAUCAGCGUGGCUUUCUCCCUGACCCGAAAGGGUUGGGAAACCCGUUGAAUCUCCUUCGUGAUAGGGAUUGGGGCUUGAAAUUGUUCCCCAUGAACGAGGAAUUCCCAUUAAGCGCGAGUCAUAAGCUCGCGUUGAUUACGUCCCUGCCCUUUGUACACACCGCCCGUCGCUACUACCGAUUGAACGGUUUAGUGAGGGCCUCGGAUUGGUCUCGGCCCGCUCUUUACCGGGCGGCGCCGUUGGUCGAGAAGACGCUCGAACUUGAUCGUUUAGAGGAAGUAAAAGUCGUAACA